rnacentral:rRNA from 11 species
UUUGAGGGCCUAAAUGCCCUAGAGACAUCUGAACCUGUAUGAUCUUGGAAGCAAAGCAGUGUCAGCCCUGGGUAGUGGUUGGAUGGGAGACUGCCAGUGAGCGUCAGUUGCUGUAGAUU